GACAGAGGCCUCGAGCGUUAGGCGGAAUCACUGGGCUUAAAGCGUGUGUAGGCGGAUCGUUAAGUGCCUUGUGAAAUCCCACGGCUUAACUGUGGAACGGCUGGGCAUACUGGCGGUCUUGAGCCAUCUAGGGGCGACUGGAACAAACGGUGGAGCGGUGAAAUGCGUAGAUAUCGUUUGGAACGCCAAUGGUGAAAACAGGUCGCUGGGGAUGCGCUGACGCUGAGACACGAAAGCCAGGGGAGCAAACGGG
rnacentral:rRNA from 1 species